CCACUUCGAAGUUGCUGUUUGCCUCUUUUUUAGAACAAAUGCUCGUGCAAAACAUUUCAAAUGAAAAUUACUUGAUUUCCAAGAGAAUGAACGUACAGGUGACAUGCAUUUUCAUAUGACUAGUUUUGCAGAAAGACUCAUUUUGCCACAGAGGCAAAAGUCAACUAUUCAUCCAGGAGCUGGCUCAGGGAGCCUUUGAUUUUCUGAAAAAUGCUAAAGUCAGCAGUUUUCUUCAAGAUUCAAGGCUAAUUUUAUCUUGGAAAAAUUAAUGGCUACCCCCAGGUUUCUUUGUGGAUUCUAAUAACCCUAGCUAAGAUCUACUUUUUCUACGUUUUCCACGUUUUCCUAAUCUGGUGGAAACACAUUUAUAUUAAGUAGAAACUGUUUUUUAAUGAGCCUGAGACACACCUCAGUCACUAACGUUCAGUUCUGUGAUGGAGCACAGCUGCAUGUUUGCACAAGACUAGUCUUCAACUCUGUGUAGGGGGCUUUAUGCGAUCUUUGUAUGUUGCAAACAUCUAGAUCAAAAUACUUGCAUGUCAAGAGAAACCUGUUGACACUUGCUUUUUACUGAAAACCGUUAUAGAUGCAUUUAAAGGCACACAAGUUGAAUGAGUCAUAAGCAAUUGGAUGAGUUAAUUUACACUUGCCAAGAAUAUCUGCAGCUUGAUUCUCAGCAGGCUGUUGUGUCUUCUUCGAGGACCUCCCCCUGUCUGUUUCUGAGCUUUGCAGCCAUUUUUGUGAAGAAGGAUUGAACAUGGCAAGAAUUCAGGAACUCCUCUAAGGUGAACCGCCUAAUUCUGUCCUCAUUUUUAGUGAUACAGUAACUGCUUCAACUUUAUGGCCAUCUCCUGACCUAAGAAAAACUCUUCUUCAAGGUAGUUUCUUUUGUUUUUCAUUGAAAUGAGUGGCCCUUUUCGUCACUUUAGGGCCCAGCCUUUAGGUUUUAUUUCAUUAGCAGGGGCUGGAAGUGUAGAACUUGCUAGGGCCAGGUGAAUACCAUGAUUGUCGCUAUAGCGUAUUUUGGCCUUGUCAAAUAGGUUUUCUCUUUCAGGAACAAAUCAACAUGAAGUGUACUGUAGAUGCUUCUUCAGUAAUUAUCUCAGCAUUACCCUGUCUGAUGCAAAAGUGGAACGGCUAAGAAAAUAUAAGGAGUUUGAAUAAAACGCUGCUUACCAUUACUUCUUGCACACUGCUUUUCAGUCUGCUGCCUUUUGCAGCUUUUGAUGGCAUUUCGGGCAGCAAAAGACAAGUAUAAUGCUGAACAAAAAAACAAGUUAGAGGCUUUUUAUUGGAAUUCUAUCCCCAUUUUAUUUGUAGUAAAUUAAAACUCUGCGGAAAAACUAAUGGCUGUCAAUGAGCUUAGAAUAGUUGAUUGAUCUCUUUUCAAAGGCACAAAGGGUGUCGUGUAAGAAAUUAGUUUUAAACGGUACAGAAUUCGGAAGACUUUUAAUUCUCUGUUUAUUUCUCCAGCCCCAUCUUUGUCUAUUUAUUCUGGGUACGAGGGUAUCGAGUGUGGGCUUAGAAAUAACUAACAAGGGGGUGCAUUACCUAACCUCAAACCCCUAAAAUCGUGCACCAAACUCUCAUAUUCCACUGUGAUAUAAGUACUAAAAGUCCAGAAUAAAAGCUUAUAGCAGUUGGCAUACUUUUAUUUUAUCCUAAAUAGUAGACCAUUGGUGAGGUCCUUAGGGGGAAGGAGGGGAAGGGCUGUGUAUCCCUUAUCCUAUUAAUUUUUGGCGUAAAUAUCUUGUAUCCUGUUAAUUGCAGCUUAAGAUUUCCUACUCAAUUAAUGUCUCGUUUUAUCUGAUCUAAACCUGCUCUAAGGUGGUGAGGUGACUUCCAAUUUGAGCAACAACAGUUGGUUGGGCAUCAAGGGCUCAUUCUUGUUUGGAUCACUGGACACGGUAGUGAUGGGUCAGCAAUUCAUGAUACUCUCAACUGCGCACAUUAAUGUGGCCAGACUUUUGUCAUCAGUAAUUUGCUCUCACAGCAGGGCUUGUAGAAUCUUCCUAAUGGUUCAGAAGCAUCUCUCCCAAAUGCCUCGAAAGUGAGAACCAUUUGAAGGGCUGAAGAACCAGUUGAUGUUAUUUUGUAACAGGGAAUCAUGUAUCCAUUCCUGAUUCCAAUCUGAAAUAGAAUCACACAACUCCUUCUCACCACUGGUUAAGUUUGACCUGUUAUCUGUGUAGAUUUCCUUCACUUGGCCUCAUCUUGCAAUGAAACAUCGCAAAGCCAAUAAGAAUGAGUGUGUGCUUAGGCUGUGUGCAAUUUCGAGGUGCAUAGCACGGAUUGCCAGACGUGAAGAUCACAGCAUAUCUCUUUAAGAGGCUCCACCCACAACGGACUUGGAAUGGGCCAAAGUAAUCCAUGCCUACUGAUGUAAAAGUUGGCUUCUCAGCGAGCACACAACUUUCUGGUAAAUCAGCCAUCUUCUGUUGGCAAAGUAGUGCCUGGCAACAACGGCAACUGACACACUUUUCUAGAACACUUCUUGCAGUUGAACUUCCUUGGUUGAUCCAGAAUUUCUGCCUAACUGAGGCUAGGACAUGCUCUCUACUGGAAUGGCCACAUGCCCUGUGGUAAUUGCCGAUGAUCACUCAGGUAAUGUGAUCUUCUUUUGGAAGAAUAAUCAGGUGCUUUGAUUCCAUGAGUAAUGAUGCUUUGCGCAGCCGACCACCAACAUGUGAAAGCCCAUCAGACGAUUGGAUCGAGCUUGUACAGGCAACUACUCUUCUUAACUGGUGUUUUGGGAUGGUUGAGCUCCUCAGGGAAGGCUCUUCUCUGUACGUGCUUCAGAAUUUCUCUCUCUGCUCUCUUGAUCACUUCAAGGGUGAUGUAUUUUGGAACAUCGCGGCUUAACUCGUUCUUCUUGCCUGCCUUCAGAAGUCUUUCUCCGUAGCACAGGAGCCAGGCAACAACUUUCUUUAGAUAGAUCCAGGAAGAGCAUUUCUUGAAAUAUUGCAGCAGUGGACAGCUUUGCUUGCCUAGUGACAACAUGCACACUUUAACCUCCAUCUUCACCUCAGGAUCUCCCUCGGGGACAUCGUUAAUUGCUUCUGUCUGCAUUGGCCAUGUGUUCGGGCCUCCAAAGGUUCUCCAGCCCCAUUAACCAACACCCUUGACUAAGGAAGACAUCUGCUGUCAAUCCUCGAGAGGCGUCAUCAGUGGGAUUCAUGUCACUAGUUACAUGGUUCCAUAGAUGGGGUUCAGAGCCAUUACGAAUAAGUGUGACACGAUUAGCUACAAAGGUGUGAUGUAGCGGCGUCAACUCUGAUAGCGGAGAGAUCCGUGAAACUAAAAGACUAAAGACUUGCAGCUUCCACAAGGCUCAGGUUUAUUGUGCCAACUGUUACAGCGAUUCUGUAUGGUGGGACGUGUUAGGGCGACCGCUCUAGUAGGUUCUGAGUUGUACAACAAUAACUGGUGGUUCCCGUCGAAUUUCUGUGAGCCUUAUCGUUUUUUUACAUGAGCUCAUGAUAUUAAGCUAAAGUCACAUGGUAGCUAGCGGAAAAUCAUUGUGAUGUAAAUGCGGUAAAAAGGGAAAUGCAUAAAAUUCUAUGAAAUAAAAACGAGGCAUGCGGGUGCCAUUACAUGUGGUAUUGCCUCGUUUUGUUCGUCAUGUAACAUAAUACUGCAGUGCUAUUCAGGCGGUGUGCGUCAUGACCCUAAAGGUUCAUGAGUAAAAAUGUGACCGUAGCUCAUUUCGAUCCAGACACGGUCGAGUACGCAUCUCCCAGGAGUCAUUACAGUGAGAGUAAACAUUGGAAUCAAAACGCUGCUUCCUUUUCUGAAAAGUGUUACAGAUGAGAGUAGUUUAGAUCAUUUCAAAGAUCUCACAGUGGCUGUAGAGAUGCAUCUUGUUGGCUUCACAAGGCAAUUUCAUUAAGUUUAUUGCGAUUUAGCAAUGAUCAAAGGUGUGAUUUUACAGGAUUUUAGCCAUGUAAAUCUCCGGCUUCUCAGAGGGUUUUCUGUAGUUAUUUGUUAAGCUUGAGCUUAUGGUUAAGAUUAUAAGUUCUAUAUAAUACAUUUUCUCCCAGAGUGAAAGAGAUCUGUAGUUCUUACUGGAUUUACCUAAGUACAAAUCAAUUCGACCAUUAGUAGUGUUUGAUGGACUUUCACUGAUGGACUUUGACUGCCAGGCAAGGAAAGGGAACACAAACAUUGGACAAGGUGAGAAAUCUUCAUCAUCUCUCGUGUCAGUUUUAUUUUUCUUCGACUAGUUUAUUUCACAGCCAUUGACUGCAAACAAAUCUUUCAUCAGGAAACAAGAGAAACAGAUCAAAAGAGCUGAACAGUGACGGCGCAUUGAGGAUUUAACCGGAGCAAGAAAGCCACUGGCUGGGGUGGCAGAAAUAAACCAUGAUCAUGUCUGCAGACUUGCCGACAGAGGUCUAUCGAUUACGUGGUUGCUCCAUAUGAGGCAGAUGCCCAAAUAGCAUACCUCACAAAGAAUGGUUAUACCGAUAUUGUGAUUUCCAAAGAUUCUGAUCUUCUAGCAUACAGAUGCCAAAACAGUAUGUAGAAUAAGUCACGUUGUUUUUCCAACUGCCAGAGUAUCAUGCCCUCUAUACAUGACAUCAGUACACCCCAAGGGUCAAAAGGCAUCACCCCCUUUUUUGUUUAUUACACUAGGUCCAACUGAAUUAUACAUAUAUUUUUUUAAUCAUUCUAUAUUAAAGACUGAAAUGCAUACAUUUAGUCAUUUCCACGUGAAGUAGCUCUAAGCAGCAUUUUAAAAAAACCUCAGAAGUUGUUUAUGUGCACCAAUAAAGCUUAGAAUUAAAUAAUUUCAAAAUUAUAUUUUAUUCAACUUGUCAUUUGCCUGCCCUUCUUUUCUCAUUUGUUCACAGGUUUUAUUCAAGCUGCAGCUCAGUGGUGCAUGUCAAGUAAUCAAGCUUGAAAAGGCAUUGGCCCACUUGUCAAUGAGACAGGAAAGUUUUCUUAACAUGUGUAUUGCUGCAGGUUGUGACUACCUUUCAAAUGUACAUGGAAUCAGGAUUCACUUAGGAAAAAAGCUUGUGACAGAAGGAAAUAAUUUCUUGGCUGUUCUGCAGAGCAACAAAUAUGCCCCAGGUGAAUACACCAGUGGAUUUCAAACAGCCAAGGCCAUCUUUCUGCACCAGACAAUGAUAAAUCCUGCUCAUGCAACAACAAUCCCAUUAUCACCAUGGGAAGAAACUCCUGAUUCACAAUCCCAAACAUCCUGUGGGAUAUAUCCACAUAGUUAUUAUACCUAGUAUAUGUCUGUGAGAAGAAUACUUCCAAAAACUCCAGUUUUCGCAUGAAAGCAGGUGAAGCCUUAUUAGUGCACCCUAAUACCCUCUUGCUGGUUAAUACCCUCUAACUGGUCUUCCCUCUUGCUGCUUGUUUUUUCUCAUAACCGAAAACAAACCCUGCUUAUUACCAUAUUAAGUCAGCUUCUGCAUAUUAGGGAAUUUGGGAACUCAAAAUGGACCCAACAUAUUGUCGUGUGAGAGAAUUUCAUGUUUAUUUAUGUCUACAAGUCUCCUGCCCUCCCCCUCCAAAGAAACUCAACAUAUAACAUUACAUUAAACUCUUGUCUUUUUUUUUUACUAGUAAUUGUUCAAGUCAGCAUGACUUUAUAUAUUAGUACUAUUAGUUUCCUUAAUAUCAAACAUGAUUAGCCUGCUGGCAAAAGAAUAUGCUGUUAACCUGGCUGUGGGUAAUGUUGACCCCAAGAUGAAGACAUCCAUUGCAAAUAAUUUUCCACUUCCUGCUUAGGCGAUUUUGUGGCAGCCUAGAGACCUGUGCUUGUCAGUUGAAACUAUAGACAAUCUAAACAUUAACUGGACUAUUCCUUCACUUCCUGUAUUGACAAUCGAAUUUGAGAAGUUGCAUGUCAAUAACACAAGGACAAUGAAACCAGCCCUGAUCAAGGCAGAAGAUACUGACUGAGUAAAAGCAGGCGAUGUAAAAAUUUGCACCAAAUGGUGUGAUUUGGUAACGGAAAGUGUCCCUUAUUUGGUUCUCUUGGAAUUUAGACAGUCUGAACCACCAGAACUCAGUAAUGGUUUAAUAAUUGAUGUUGCGGAUGACAAUUCAAGUGACAAGGACAGCAAUGAUUAUUCAGUGUAUACUGUUCCUUUUAAAGUGCUCAGAGUAGCGUAUAAAGGUAGACAAACCUACCUGAAAAAAGCAUAUGUGAGUUUGGAACAAAAGCAAGAGGUAAUAGCAAAACUUCAACGAUUACGACCAGAAUGCAAUAACUGUCCUCAUAAACUUUGCAGUGGCUGGAACAAAGUGGGUUACAUUACCAAGGAGUUAACAAGUGAGCUACAGCCCCUCAUUGACAAUGGCAAUAUCAAAGUUAAUGUUACACAUAUUUGCUUCAGAGUUAACUAUUUGCAAGUUGGCUUUUACUUCACAUUAAAUAUUUCUAGAACAGGACAGUGGAGCAAAAAGGUUUUCAAGGCUGCUAAGAAGGCCAAAUAAAUUUAAAACACCUCAUGUUCAGACUAUAUUUAUUUCUGUGUGAUAUUUUCUUUACCAUUUUGGUAGAGUACAUUAAUGCCUCUGCAACAAAGUUCCAAAAAAUCUAUAGGAAUAAAUGGCUCAAAAUUGUGGCUAAACUCCAGAUACAUGUACUGGCAAAACAAAUUCUGCAUUAAGUCUCAUCUCAUGCAUGAGCGCAUUGAUGGCAAUAAUUUGAUAACUUUGGCAAUUGAAACUCCAAAACAUUCCUGAUUGCCAAUACAGGUGACAAGAGGGUUCUGUUUCCCUGCAAGGACUCUGGAGUAUGAGUAACAUCUCCAGGAUUUGUGGACCCUUCAGAUGGGCACCCUUGAAGUCCUCUGCUGAAAUAGUUAAUGCAGAGGUCCUCUUCUGCUUCUUCCAAUGUUUUAUACUUUUGGCAAAGGUACGAGUUGACCUGUUGUCUACAUGCAUCCCUGUUAAAAAAAAUAAUAAUACACAUCUGGCUCAGUUGCGGUGCAAAUGAACAUAAGGGUAAAUCAAAUAUCAUGUGUUCUAUUAUUCUUAUCACAAGUCAAUAAAUUGGUUCAGGUAUGUACAGAUUCUUCAAAAUAUUAGUACCAUAUCACUAACAUAGAGAGCAGUACUUUUUGUUUCAUCACUGUCACAUUUUAGGAAAUUUAAUAUCCAAGAUAGUUAUAUUUGAAAGAUGAUGUAAUGGAAACUUGCUGUCAUACUUGUAAUAUCCAGGAUUGACGCCCCAUCCAAAAGUUAUCUGCUUAAAUUAAUCUGCUUGUACCAAGGUUUUAGCUGGAAGGGUGUCCAUGCUGAACUCCUGGAGAUUUGCUGGAACCUUGCGGGUGUAACCCUUGUCAAUAAUGUCUGCCAUGAAACACUUGUAGUCGCUGUACAAGUCCUUGUAAUGUUGUACUUUCCUUUCACCAGAAAGUGCGUUUUUCUGCCGGCAGUUUGCUGUUUAGGACUGGUUCUUUGCGAUCUUUCAAAGGUAACUCCAUUUUAUAGUGACCAUCUCUCAAUACUACAGUACGCUCCAACUUGCAGAGGAAACGAAGCUCUUCUUGUGACAUUUCAGGUUUGUCAUCAGCACUGGAUUCAUUGAAGCCACUGUUGUAAAAAUCCUUCACCAUCUGAUGAAAUUCAGGAUCAGCCUUUAAAAAGAAACUUAUUGCAUGUGGGCCCUUGUGAUAACGCCCUAAAGGACCAUUAACCGUCCGUCCCUACUUGAUCGGGAAGCAUAAGGACCACCGUUUUGACUGCUUCACUUCCAAACAAUCAAAGAUAGUGGGAACAUCCCAGGCUAUGAGAAGACCUAUUUCGGCGUCAACCUCAGGUAGGCAUACUCCACACAAGUGUGGCCACUGGUCAAUGUCACCCUAUGUGGAUAUGUCCUCCUUUGAAAUGGGUAUUUUCAGUCUCAUAUAAAGUGCUGGCAAGUCGAUAAAGACAUUUUUACCCAGAUCAGAGAUGAAAAGAUCUUUCACAACGAAACUUUCAAUAAGGCUGUCUUUCUUUUCCAAAGUUGUUAGGGAAAUCUGAGUUCGUGUACCACUGACCCCUAGCUGUCUCAUCAAGGAUUCUGUGCAGAAUGUGGAGGAACUACCACUGUCCAAAAAUGCAUAGGUAAUCACAGGGGGACCUGUAGCUUUCAACCAAACUUUGACCAGAACAACAGCCAUGCCUAUUCUCGAAAGGUCAAGAUUAACCAUUCUGUUACGAAUGCAUGUGGACUCUUGUGGCGAGGUACUUGCAGAAGGAAUGUCGGAUGGUUGAAUUCUUCCCACAGUGUUCGUGUGAAGAAUUUUGGGAUGUUUCCUGGUACGGUUAGCAAUGGUACAUGUUUUCCUUUCCAGGCGUUCUUUUGCCAUGUGAUUGGAAGACAAACAACCAAAGCAGAGGUGUUUUGAUUUCAAGAAUUGAAUCCGAUCUGGAUACAGGAGGCAUCUAAUUGCA